UAGGGAAUCUUCCACAAUGGGCGCAAGCCUGAUGGAGCAACACCGCGUGAGUGAAGAAGGGUUUCGGCUCGUAAAGCUCUGUUGUUAAAGAAGAACGUGGGUAAGAGUAACUGUUUACCCAGUGACGGUAUUUAACCAGAAAGCCACGGCUAACUACGUGGCAG
rnacentral:rRNA from 1 species